GCAUCGAUGAUGGAACUGGCAGACAUGCAAGACUAAGGAUCUUGUGCCCAAUUACGGGCGUGAGGGUUCGAAUCCCUUUCGAUGCA
rfam:Enterococcus sp. 6C8_DIV0013 scaffold00001, whole genome shotgun sequence.